UACGUAGGGUGCGAGCGUUGUCCGGAAUUAUUGGGCGUAAAGCGCGUGUAGGCGGUCCGGUAAGUCCGCUGUGAAAGUCGGGGGCUCAACCCUCGAAUGCCGGUGGAUACUGUCGGGCUAGAGUGCGGAAGAGGCGAGUGGAAUUCCUGGUGUAGCGGUGAAAUGCGCAGAUAUCAGGAGGAACACCAAUUGCGAAGGCAGCUCGCUGGGACGUAACUGACGCUGAGACGCGAAAGCGUGGGGAGCAAACAGG
rnacentral:rRNA from 1 species